rnacentral:rRNA from 1 species
UACGUAGGGUGCGAGCGUUGUCCGGAAUUAUUGGGCGUAAAGAGCUCGUAGGCGGUGUGUCACGUCGGCCGUGAAAACCCGCGGCUUAACCGCGGGCUUGCAGCCGAUACGGGCGGGCUGGAGUUCGGUAGGGGAGACUGGAAUUCCUGGUGUAGCGGUGAAAUGCGCAGAUAUCAGGAGGAACACCGGUGGCGAAGGCGGGUCUCUGGGCCGAUACUGACGCUGAGGAGCGAAAGCGUGGGGAGCGAACAGG